rnacentral:rRNA from 1 species
GAGCGGGCGAGGUUGCUUCGGUAACUGAGCUAGCGGCGGACGGGUGAGUAAAGCUUAGGAAUCUGCCUAUUAGUGGGGGACAACAUUCCGAAAGGGAUGCUAAUACCGCAUACGUCCUACGGGAGAAAGCAGGGGAUCCUUGUGACCUUGCGCUAAUAGAUGAGCCUAAGUCGGAUUAGCUAGUUGGUGGGGUAAAGGCCUACCAAGGCGACGAUCUGUAGCGGGUCUGAGAGGAUGAUCCGCCACACUGGGACUGAGACACGGCCCAGACUCCUACGGGAGGCAGCAGUGGGGAAUAUUGGACAAUGGGGGGAACCCUGAUCCAGCCAUGCCGCGUGUGUGAAGAAGGCCUUUUGGUUGUAAAGCACUUUAAGCGAGGAGGAGGCUUACCUGGUUAAUACCUGGGAUAAGUGGACGUUACUCGCAGAAUAAGCACCGGCUAACUCUGUGCCAGCAGCCGCGGUAAUACAGAGGGUGCGAGCGUUAAUCGGAUUUACUGGGCGUAAAGCGCGCGUAGGUGGUUAAUUAAGUCAAAUGUGAAAUCCCCGAGCUUAACUUGGGAAUUGCAUUCGAUACUGGUUAGCUAGAGUAUGGGAGAGGAUGGUAGAAUUCCAGGUGUAGCGGUGAAAUGCGUAGAGAUCUGGAGGAAUACCGAUGGCGAAGGCAGCCAUCUGGCCUAAUACUGACACUGAGGUGCGAAAGCAUGGGGAGCAAACAGGAUUAGAUACCCUGGUAGUCCAUGCCGUAAACGAUGUCUACUAGCCGUUGGGGGAUUUGAUCCUUUAGUGGCGCAGCUAACGCGAUAAGUAGACCGCCUGGGGAGUACGGUCGCAAGACUAAAACUCAAAUGAAUUGACGGGGGCCCGCACAAGCGGUGGAACAUGUGGUUUAAUUCGAUGCAACGCGAAGAACCUUACCUGGCCUUGACAUAGUAGAGACUUUCCAGAAAUGGAUUGGUGCCUUC